rnacentral:pre_miRNA from 1 species
GCAAGUUUUUCACCUUGGUUAUUUAUAUUUGUUAAUCACCGGGUGGAAAAUUUGAGC